rnacentral:lncRNA from 1 species
ACACACUUCAUUGAUGUCAAGGAAAACUUUCACCUUGUGUGAAGAUUGCUACCAUGUUUUUCCUGGUGAAAGAAAUCCGUUCCUUUUGCUUUUGUGUUGCUUGUAGAAAAUCAGCACAUCUGAGGGGGCUGCAUCUGGUAAGGAGGGCAUGGAUGCAGCAGGUGAGGCCUGUGCUAGCCAAGGUAUCAGAAUCUGCUGCUCAACAAGAGAAGUGUUUGGGGGCAAAGAACCAGCCAAGGUUGGCCUGUCAUUGGUGAAUUCGUAUGUCAUGGGCAACAUGAAUUCUGAACCUAGAAAGCUUUCAUUUGAAGCAGCUGACCUUUCAUUUCAACAUACCUGCAGGAAGCCCUAG